rnacentral:lncRNA from 1 species
CUGCUGUGGGGCACAGGGUCCCUCUAGAAUGAUGCCCCCCAACCCUGGGAGACCAGGGGAGAGGUCAUAUGGACCCUGCUCUCUGCCCAGACCCUAGUGGGUUUAGACCAGGUACUUUGAAAUAAAAGGAGUCAGAACAAGGACGGGCCUGUGAUGUGUCUGUCUAUGACGAGGAGGACAAUGUCCUAAGGAAUGGAGAGGAAGAAAGUGAAGGGAACCAGGUCCCUGGAUUCCAUGUGGAACAGUAGCCCAGGAUGUGCACUAUGGACUGUUACAAGAGAGAGACAUGAUCUUCCUUAAGGCAUUGAUUUGUCAUGAGUCUCUUUGUUAUAGCCACUUAACGUUACCUUAAUACACCCACUUCAUGGAUAAGUAAAACUGAGGCUUGGAGAAGCCCACAUUGACACAGCAAAGAAGGCUGGGGCUCUUGUGCUGGUUAAAUGGACCUUGAUGUCUUCCAAAUGUUUUCAUGCUGGAUUCUGAGCCACUCUCCUGGCUGCAACUCUGAGGCCGGGCAGACUUUCCGCUGGAAAGAGAACUCAAAUACUGGUGAGAGGUGGAUUUGAAGCCAGGAGCCCCAGGUUUUGGCUCUGCAGGUUUGCACCCAGCUCUGUGGUGUAUGCCCUCACAGGUCACCCAGGACCUCCUGUCCAGGCUUCUUCAGGCCACCCAUGAUGGAGUAGAUUUGAGGAAUGAGGUUUUCAAAGCAGUUAGUGUGCGGGAGAGUAACCCUGGGGCCUCCGGAACCAGAAGGGAGGGAUUUGGGGGCUGGAGCUUGGCAGUCCAGGUUCCAUUGUCCUCAUGUUCUCCCCACUGGCCUGGCCUGUCACUCCAGUCUCUGCAUAGGUUGUCACAUGGCAUUCUCCCUGUGUGUCUCUGUGUCUCUUCUCUUCUUUAUAAAGACAUAGUUAUAAUGGAUUAGGGCCCACCCUAAUGACACCAUCUUAACUUGAUUAUGUCUGCAAACACCCUACUUCCAAAUAAGGUCGCAUUAACAGGUACUGGGGUUUAGGACUUCAACAUGCCUAUUUGGGGGCACAAUUGUGGGCAGCCCCACAACACACAUGUAAUUUUAACCUCUAAGGAGUAAGCAUGCUGAUUUUUUUUUUUUUUUUUUUUUGAGACAGGGUCUUGCUCUGUUGCUCGGCUGGAGUGCAGUGGCACGAUCUCAGCUCACUGCAAACUCCACCUCCUGGUUUCAAGCAAUUCUCCCCCGACCCAGCCUCCCGAGUAGCUGGGAUUACAGGUGUGUGCCACCAUGCCCAGCUAAUUUUUGUGAUUUUAGUACAGAUGGUGUCUCACCAUUUUGCCCAGGCUGGUCUCGAACUCCUGGCCUUAAGUGAAUCGCCCACCUCAGCCUCCCGAGGUGCUGAGAUUACAGGCACAAGCCACUGUGCCUGGCCAAUCACUGAUCUUUCUCAAGGACUCUCCUUCUUUUCUCUUUGAGAUGGAGUCUCACUCUGUCCCCUAGGCAGGCUGGAGUGCAGUGGCACAAUCUUGGCUCACUGCAACCUCCACCUCCCAAGUUCAAGCGAUUCUCCUGCCUCAGCCUCCCAAGUAGCUGAGAUUAUAGGCGCCCACCACCAUACCUGGCUAAUUUUUGUAUUUUUAGUAGACAUGGGGUUUCACCAUGUUAGCCAGGCUGGUCUCAAACUCCUGGCCUCAGGUGAUCCAGCCACCUUGGUCCCCCAAAGUGCUGGGAUUACAGGCGUGAGCCACCGUGCCUGUCAAGGCCUCUCCUUCUAUUACGGGUCCAUCUCUUGCAGUCCCAAACUGCUUUCCUUGGGAAAUCCACAGGGAUGAAACAUCAUCUCCAACAUCAGCUGUGGAUUCUUUGAAGUGGAGGGUGAGUUUAAAGGGCCAUGUGAAGUGGUCAGCAAGUGGAACCCAUCUGAGAUUCUGACAAUUCUCUCUCACCCAGUUAUUUACACUCAUCUCACCCACACCUAAUUUGCCAAUAUUUUUGGUGACUCAUUUGUAAAGUAUCCUUCAAAGCAUUAGACUGAAUUUUCAUAAGAAACAUCUCUCCUUGUUAGUGCACUUCUGAUUCAUCAGUAAUAUAACAUUUAGUUAGAUUACGACAGUAAUUACAAUGACAAGUGAACUGUCAGAAACAUGUUCAGGAACAAAUACAAGUGACUGGCAAACAAACCACCAGCCGGUGUGAGGAGAAGCAGGCAGAGCCCAGGGGAGGAGGCUGCCAGCUGUCCCUUCCGAGUGCUCCCAUUUCAAAGGGGAGGUUGGCAGGAGGGUGGUUAGGAGAGGGAGGCUCGCCUGUAGGCCACAGGAGGGCUGUGACAGUAAAACCCUUUCUGGCCCCCCAGCAACGAAUGGGCAACCUAGACCCUCACUCCAGGCCCUGUUCUCCACGCAGGGAGUCGUGGAUCUUUUAAAAAACAAGAACCAGCACACCCACUUUGUCACAAAACCCAGACAAUCACAAGCUUUGUCGAGGAUAUAGGGAAGUUGGGACCCUCAUACACUGCUGGUGGGAAUGGAAAAUUGUGCAGCCGCUGCAGGAAACAGCUUGGUGGUUCCUAGAUAAGUUAAGCAGAGUUAUCAUAUGACCCAGCACUUAUACUCCCAGCUAUAUAUCCCAAAGAAUUGAAAUCAGGCCUUCAAACAAAAGCGUGUACAUGCAUGCUCAUAGCAGGACUAUUCAUGAUAACUUGGAAUAGGUGGAGAGAACCCAUAUGUCCAUCCACUGAUGAAUGGAGAAACUGCGGUCUCUCCACACAAGGGAAUAGCAUUCAGCCAUAAGAAGGAAUGACGUUUUGAUACCUGCUACCAUGUGGAUGGACCUUGAAAACAUUAUGCUAAGCCGAAACACAUUAUGCUAAGUGGAAACACAUUAUGCUAAAUGAAGACGCCAGACACAAAAGGACACAUAUUGUACGAUUAAUUCCACUUACGUGAAACAGCCAAAACAGGCAGAUCUACAGAGGCAGAGAGCAGAUUCGUGGCGGGCAGGGGCUGGGGGAGGGGAGAAUGAGGAGUGACUGGUGGGUAUGGGAUUUCCAUCUGGGGUGAUGAAGAAGUUCCAGAACUUUUUCUAUCUCAGUGGUUUCAGUUGCACGACAUUGUGUAUUUAAAGUCACUGAAUUGUGCACUAACAUGGUUGAAAUGGGACUUUUUUUUGAGAUGGAAUUUCGCUCUUGUCCCUCAGGCUGGAGUGCAGUGGUACAAUCUCAGCUCACUGCAACCUCCACCUCCCGGGUUCAAGUGAUUCUCCUGCCUUAGCCUCCCGAGUAGCUGGGAUUACAGGCAUGCACCACCACCAUGCCCAGCUAAUUUUCGUAUUUUUAGGAGAGACAGGGUUUCACCAUGUUGGCCAGGCUGGUCUCGAACUCCUGGCCUCAAGUGAUUCACCCACCUUGGCCUCCCAAAGUGCUGGGAUUACAGGUGUGAGCCACAGCGCCCAGACGAAAUGGAGCAACUCCAGUCCCCUCCAGCUGCUCUCUCCUCAGGACAGGUCUCAUUUUAGUUCUUCUGGACUCCAUCACACCAGCACAUGCCCCAAUUUGGGGGUCUGCACAGACACCUCAAGCAGAGCUUGCUCCUGCCCCUUCUCCCAGAUCUACCCGUGGACUGGUUGCCCAGGGCCCAGAUAAUUCGCAGAAGGCUCAUUCCCUCCGAGACUCUGCCUGGGACCCCACUCACAGAAGGCUUUCGUGG